rnacentral:rRNA from 1 species
AUUGAACGCUGGCGGCAGGCUUAACACAUGCAAGUCGAGCGGGGAAAGGUAGCUUGCUUCCUGACCUAGCGGCGGACGGGUGAGUAAUGCUUAGGAAUCUGCCUAUUAGUGGGGGACAACAUCUCGAAAGGGAUGCUAAUACCGCAUACGUCCUACGGGAGAAAGCAGGGGACCUUCGGGCCUUGCGCUAAUAGAUGAGCCUAAGUCGGAUUUGCUAGUUGGUGGGGUAAAGGGCUACCAAGGCGACGAUCUGUAGCGGGUCUGAGAGGAUGAUCCGCCACACUGGGACUGAGACACGGCCCAGACUUCUACGGGAAGCAGCAGUGGGGAAUAUUGGACAAUGGGGGGAACCCUGAUCCAGCCAAGCCGCGGGUGUGAAGAAGGCCUUUUGGUUGUAAAGCACUUUAAGCGAGGAGGAGGCUACAGAGAUUAAUACUCUUGGAUAGUUGACGUUACUCGCAGAAUAAGCACCGGCUAACUCUGUG